rnacentral:rRNA from 1 species
UACAGGGGGGGCAAGCGUUGUUCGGAAUUACUGGGCGUAAAGCGUGUGUAGGUGGCCACCUAAGUCCGACGUGAAAUCCCUCAGCUUAACUGGGGAACUGCGUCUGAUACUGGAUGGCUUGAGUGUGGGAGAGGAAUGCGGAAUUCCAGGUGUAGCGGUGAAAUGCGUAGAUAUCUGGAGGAACACCGGUGGCGAAGGCGGCAUUCUGGACCAGAACCGACACUGAGAGACGAAAGCCAGGGGAGCAAACGGG